rnacentral:sRNA from 1 species
UUCUAGCCCCGGUAGAAGCGGCAUCCUUUUUAUCCUUUCUUUAAGGAUAAAAAGAUAGAGCGGAUGACGGGAAUAGCU